GUAGUCCACGCCGUAAACGUUGGGCACUAGGUGUGGGGGACAUUCCACGUUUUCCGCGCCGUAGCUAACGCAUUAAGUGCCCCGCCUGGGGAGUACGGCCGCAAGGCUAAAACUCAAAGGAAUUGACGGGGGCCCGCACAAGCGGCGGAGCAUGCGGAUUAAUUCGAUGCAACGCGAAGAACCUUACCAAGGCUUGACAUGGGCCGGAUCGCCGCAGAAAUGUGGUUUCCCCUUUGGGGCCGGUUCACAGGUGGUGCAUGGUUGUCGUCAGCUCGUGUCGUGAGAUGUUGGGUUAAGUCCCGCAACGAGCGCAACCCUCGUUCUAUGUUGCCAGCGCGUUAUGGCGGGGACUCAUAGGAGACUGCCGGGGUCAACUCGGA
rnacentral:rRNA from 1 species